AGAAUCAACGCUGGCGGCGUGCCUAACACAUGCAAGUCGAACGAGAAAGUGGAGCAAUCCAUGAGUAAAGUGGCGACCGGGUGAGUAACACGUGACUAACCUACCUUCGAGUGGGGGAUAACCUCGGGAAACCGAGGCUAAUACCACAUAACAUCGCAAGAUCAAAGCAGCAAUGCGCUGGAAGAGGGGGUCGCGGCUGAUUAGCUAGUUGGCGGGUAACGCCCACAAGGCGAAGAUCGGUA
rnacentral:rRNA from 1 species